rnacentral:rRNA from 1 species
GACGAACGCUGGCGGCGUGCCUAAUACAUGCAAGUCGAACGAAAAGACGAGGAGCUUGUUCCUCUGACGUUAGCGGAGGGCGGGUGUGUCACACGUGGAUAAUCUACCUAUCAGACUGGUAUCACUUCGGGACACCGGCGCUUAUCCCGGAUAAUAUCUUGAUGCGCAUGGUUGAAUAGUAAAUGACGGUUUUGCUGUCACUACUCGAUGGUUCCGCGCCGCAUUGGGUAGUUGGUAAGGUAAAGGCUUACCAAGGCAACGAUGCGUAUCCGACCUGUGAGAGGGAUCGGCCACAUGGGAGGUGGAACAGGGACCAGACUCCUACGGGAGGCCGCAGUAGGGAACCGUCCGCAAUGGUGGAAAGCCUUACGGAGCAAGGCCGCGUGAGAUAUAAAGGUCUUCGGAGCGGAAAACUCGGUUAUUAGGUAAAAACAACUGUGGAAUGAACCAUGCACUUCGUGACGGUACCUAAUCAGAAAGCCACGGCUAACUACGUG